AGAAAUGGUUGACAAUCUACUCCCGGAGACGAUAUGGUAAAUCUGUUAAACAAGUCGAGUCUGCAUGGAAAAUUCUUCAUCGCUCUAUUUACAAUUGCACCGAUGGAAUUGCAGACCAUAACACGGAUUAUAUAGUAAAAUUUCCUGAUUGGGAUCCAUCGAUGAAUAGCCAACAUGAUGCACGUGAGUUUGUUAAGAGGCACGGGCUCCUUGGUAUGGAACCAAACAGAAGGUUCCUUCUCCACGAAACAGGCUCUUCCUUGCCUCAGCCCCAUUUAUGGUAUGACAAUCAGGACUCUAUCAGCGCGUUGAAGUUAUUCCUUGAUGCUGGAGACGAGCUUGCUGAAAUUCCGACAUACAGGUUAACUUUUUAUUUGCUCAAUAGGUAUUGCUGAAUCUUGCAUCCUUUGCAGGUAUGAUUUGGUUGACUUAACGAGGUGUAUCUGAAUGCAAUACAUGCUUUCCGGCACAAGGAUGCGCAGGCUUUAAGCAUCCACUUUCUCAAGUUCCUACAACUCAUCAACGACAUCGACAAACUUCUUGCCACACAUGAUAAUUUCCUACUCGGUCCUUGGCCAAUAAAUGCUAGUUGCAACAAGCCAAAAUGAUGAUCUUUCCAUUUAUGUUGUCUGAGCAGUGAUGUUUUUAAUGAGUAUUAAGAGUUUAAUUCUUA